UACGUAGGGUGCGAGCGUUUGUCCGGAAUUAUUGGGCGUAAAGAGCUUGUAGGCGGUCUGUCGCGUCUGCUGUGAAAAUCCGGGGCUCAACCCCGGACUUGCAGUGGGUACGGGCAGACUAGAGUGUGGUAGGGGAGACUGGAAUUCCUGGUGUAGCGGUGAAAUGCGCAGAUAUCAGGGAGGGAACACCCGGGUGGGCGAAAGGCGGCAUCCUGGACCGGCAUUGAC
rnacentral:rRNA from 1 species